rnacentral:snRNA from 1 species
UUGCUCAAUUCGACAGCACAUAAACUAAAAUUGGAACGAUACAGAGAAGAUUAGCAUGGCCCCUGCCCAAGGAUGACACUCAAAUUCGUGAAGCAUUCCAUAUUUUA